ACUCCUACGGGAGGCAGCAGUGGGGAAUAUUGCACAAUGGGCGCAAGCCUGAUGCAGCCAUGCCGCGUGUGUGAAGAAGGCCUUCGGGUUGUAAAGCACUUUCAGUCGUGAGGAAGGUAGUGUAGUUAAUAGCUGCAUUAUUUGUACGUUAGCGACAGAAGAAGCACCGGCUAACUCCGUGCCAGCAGCCGCGGUAAUACGGAGGGUGCGAGCGUUAAUCGGAAUUACUGGGCGUAAAGCGCAUGCAGGUGGUUUGUUAAGUCAGAUGUGAAAGCCCGGGGCGUCAACCUCGGAAUAGCAUUUGAAACUGGCAGACUAGAGUACUGUAGAGGGGGUAGAAUUUCAGGUGUAGCGGUGAAAUGCGUAGAGAUCUGAAGGAAUACCGGUGGCGAAGGCGGCCCCCUGGACAGAUACUGACACUCAGAUGCGAAAGCGUGGGAGCAAACAGGAUUAGAU
rnacentral:rRNA from 1 species